GUCGAACGGUCGCUUCGGCGAUAGUGGCGAACGGGUGAGUAACACGUAGUUUACCUACCCCAGAGAGCGGGACAACUAGUCGAAAGAUUAGCUAAUACCGCAUAAGCUCCCGGUGAAUAGUAAGCUGGGAGAAAAGGGUCGCGAGGCCGCUUUGGGAUGGGACUGCGGUCCAUCAGCUAGUUGGUGCGGUAAUGGCGUACCAAGGCGACGACGGAUAGGGGGCCUGAGAGGGUGACCCUCCACACUGGAACUGAGACACGGUCCAGACUCCUACGGGAGGCAGCAGUGAGGAAUAUUGCUCAAUGGGCGCAAGCCUGAAGCAGCAACGCCGCGUGGGUGAAGAAGGCUUUCGGGUCGUAAAACCCUUUUCUGUGUGACGAGGACGGACGGUAGCACAGGAAUAAGUGUCGGCUAACUACGUGCCAGCAGCCGCGGUAAUACGUAGGACGCGAGCAUUAUCCGGAAUUACUGGGCGUAAAGAGCACGCAGGCGGUCUGUUAAGUUUCGCAUGAAAGCUCUAGGCUAAACUUGGAGAGGCUGCGGGAUACUGGCCGACUAGAGUAGGGGAAAGGGGCGUGGAAUUCCGCGUGUAGUGGUAAAAUGCGUAGAUAUGCGGAGGAACACCAGAGGCGAAGGCGGCGCUCUGGCCCCUAACUGACGCUGAGGUACGAAAGCACGGGGAGUGAACGGGAUUAGAAACCCCGGUAAUCCGUGCUGUAAACGAUGUGCACUAAACGUUCGGCUUACGGGCUGGGU
rnacentral:rRNA from 1 species